UACGUAAGGUGCAAGCGUUGUCCGGAAUUAUUGGGCGUAAAGAGCUCGUAGGCGGCUUGUCGCGUCGGCUGUGAAAACCUGGGGCUCAACCCCGGGCCUGCAGACGAUACGGGCAAGCUAGAAUUCGGUAGGGGAGACUGGAAUUCCUGGUGUAGCGGUGAAAUGCGCAGAUAUCAGGAGGAACACCGGUGGCGAAGGCGGGUCUCUGGGCCGAUAUUGACGCUGAGGAGCGAAAGCGUGGGGAGCGAACAGG
rnacentral:rRNA from 1 species